UCAUCGAGACCGGACGAGACGCGUUUUCAUCUCCAAUUGGCCGUCGUCUCGUCGUCGUCGGUCAUCGCCAAACGUUUUUCAAACGGUCGCUGUUAUCUCGGCUGUUUCGUAUGUACGAAUGAUAGUCGUCGACGUAUGCAUUACGAUAUUAUAAUAUUUAUGCUACAAAUAAUGAUAAUAAUAAUAGGGUAUAUUUUUUCGACCGCUGUAGUGACGGCUAUGCAGUCGUGAAAGUUUCGGACGCGUCGAGUGCGCCAUGCGACAGGGCCACAACGUUCUGUUUUCGAUGUCAAUUCUGAUUACAGAUGAUAAAAGUCGGCUUGCAGCAUCGGACGCGCGUUAUUACGCGAGUUAUAUUACAUAUAUAUGUAUAUAAAUAUUUAAUACACGAUUUUACAUCUCUACACCGGCUACCAGAAAGCGCGUAAUGAUGAGAAAAAGCAAUAAAAAUAAACGUGAAAAAAUAUUCGUUAAAAAAAUUUGUUUCCAGACGGCUUGUAUUGUACGAUCGCGCAUUUAAUCAUUCGCAUUACAACUACACACAUUAUAUUAUAUAUAUACAGUGUGAUAUAAUAUAAUAACGUUUUGACCGCA